UUACAAUGGCAGGUACAGAGGGAUGCUACCGGGCGACCGGAUGCGGAUCUCGAAAGCCUGUCCCAGUUCGGACUGGAGUCUGCAACCCGACUCCACGAAGUUGGAUUCGCUAGUAAUCGCGCAUCAGCCAUGGCGCGGUGAAUACGUUCCCGGGCCUUGUACACACCGCCCGUCAAGCCAUGGGAGCCGGGGGCGCCUGAAGUCCGGGACCGCGAGGACCGGCCUAGGGCGAAACUGGUAACUGGGGCUAAGUCGUAACAAGGUAAC
rnacentral:rRNA from 1 species